GACGAACGCUGGCGGCGUGCCUAAUACAUGCAAGUAGAACGCUGAAGAGAGGAGCUUGCUCUUCUUGGAUGAGUUGCGAACGGGUGAGUAACGCGUAGGUAACCUGCCUUGUAUCGGGGGAUAACUAUUGGAAACGAUAGCUAAUACCGCAUAACAAUGGAUGACACAUGUCAUUUAUUUGAAAUUGGCAAUUGCUCCACUACAAGAUGGACCUUCGUUGUAUUAGCUAGUAGGUGAGGUAACGGCUCACCUAGGCGACGAUACAUAGCCGAACUGAGAGGGUGAUCGGCCACACUGGGACUGAGACACGGCCCAGAGUCCUACGGGAGGCAGCAGGAGGGAAUCUUGGGCAAUGGGGGCAAAACUGAGCGCGAAACGCCGCGGGAGUGAAGAAGGUUGUCGGAUCGUAAAGCUCUGUUGUAAGUCAAGAACGAGUGUGCGAGUGGAAAGUUCACACUGUGACGGUAGCUUACAAGAAAGGGACGGCUAACUACGUG
rnacentral:rRNA from 1 species